rnacentral:rRNA from 1 species
UACGUAGGGUGCGAGCGUUGCCCGGAUUUACUGGGCGUAAAGGGCUCGUAGGCGGCCAACUAAGUCAGACGUGAAAUCCCUCGGCUUAACCGGGGAACUGCGUCUGAUACUGGAUGGCUUGAGUUUGGGAGAGGGAUGCGGAAUUCCAGGUGUAGCGGUGAAAUGCGUAGAUAUCUGGAGGAACACCGGUGGCGAAGGCGGCAUCCUGGACCAACACUGACGCUGAGGAGCGAAAGCCAGGGGAGCAAACGGG